UUGAAUUAGAUCUCGUGUUUUAUUUUUGCUAAUUUCCAUUAUGCGCCCUAGCAUGGGGAUUAUUGGACCUGCCACGUCAAUUAAUGAAGCUAGAUCCAACACUCCGUGUUUUUUCUGAUUUUAUUUCUUUUUUAUUUUUCAUUUUAAAUUUCUUUUUUUUUUAAAUUCAUAAUAAAUUCAUUUUUCAUCCAAAAAAUCCAAAAAUAAUUCCAAAAUUCUCUUUUAUUUUUCUUCAUAUGUUUUUUAUUUUUUCACAUUUUAUUUUCUUGAUUUCCUAUUUUU
rnacentral:lncRNA from 1 species